CACCAAGUUCCUGUGUCAGCAGUUCUGAGUUCCGUUGGAAAGAGAUUGUCCAGGGAAGAGGAAUCUUGCUCAGUGCAAGAAGUUGCCCUUCCUAUCUGAGCUGAUGCCCUUGGCAGGAGAAGUGCUCAGCAAGGAGGCUCUUUGCUCCCAGGCAGGAAGAAAGAGGGAUAAUAACUCCUGUCAGCAGCAAGGUCCUGACUGAAGUGGCAGCUGCAGUUGUUCCUGUGGUGUGGGCCAGUGGAAUUCCAAGAAAAUGGACAAGGACAGAACCUGUAAGAAUUACCCCUAAGCCAGAGUCUCUCCUGGUAAGGCAAACCAAGUAUCCUUUAAAAUUAGGAAGCCAAGCUGGAUUGGUUCUAGUAAGAGCUGAAUUUGCUGCUGAUGGUUUGAUAGUAGAAUGUGAAUGCAAGGAGCUGUAAAGAAAGGAAAUGGGCAAGAUGAUUGAUUGCUGGGAGCAGGGGCUGGCAGACAGUGGCACUGGCUGUUUGG